CCGCCCGCGGCCGGUGAUAGAGGGUCCGCGGGGGAAGGCGACGCGCCGGCCGAGCUGUCGCGGGAAGGGGCUGGGCCCCCGCGGGCUGUCUUUGCCCGCAGGGUGACCCCGGCUCCCCAGAAUUGGACCUCUGCUGUGGCCCAAUGGCUUCCCAUCAAGCAUCUCAAAAAUCUGUUCUUUCCCCCCAAAACUGGAUUUCAAGAUUUUCCGUCAUUUAAUUCAAGUAUCCCCAUGAUCUUGCGCAGCCUGCCAGUGAGGUGCUGUUUAAUGAUAGAAGGUCAGCCCCAUGACAGCAAGGACCUUAACUGCAUCUUCCUGCCUACAGAGGGCCUGGCACAUAGCGGGUGCUCAAUAAAUAUUCAUUUCAUGAAAAUAGCA